rnacentral:rRNA from 1 species
UACGGAGGGUGCGAGCGUUAAUCGGAAUCACUGGGCGUAAAGCGCGCGUAGGCGGCUUUUCAAGCCAGGGGUGAAAUCCCACGGCCCAACCGUGGAACUGCCUUUGAAACUGUAGAGCUUGAGUGUCGGAGAGGGUGGCGGAAUUCCAGGUGUAGGAGUGAAAUCCGUAGAUAUCUGGAGGAACACCGGUGGCGAAGGCGGCCACCUGGACGACAACUGACGCUGAGGUGCGAAAGCGUGGGUAGCAAACAGG